GGGGUAACUGGAAUUGCAUCCUUAAUUUUGAAUGACACAUGUUUUAGUAAGGGGAAUGUGUUCUGUCCAUAAUAGAAACUGAGGUGAAUUAGGUAUUGUCACAUGUGGCAAUCAAAUCUGCAAUCAAGACAAUUGCUUAUGUGGCAGAUGAUAAACAGCGCCAAGAGUGUCGCGACGUUGAUGAGUGGUGCACUCGGACUUGUGGGUCUUGCAGGUUCACCUGCUUAAGUCCAGCGGGCUUUGCAGGUUAGGUCGCUUGAACCUGUGUUAUACAUGCAGGUGUCUGCAGGGGCCUGCUAAGACUGUUUUUUGCAGGUAGCUAGGCCUAGCAGGUAGCAGGCAAACCUGCGUCCACUUGCAUCCCUACAUACGGGCAGGUCACAUACGUGGCCAUGCACCGACCGAGUGCACGUUGCAGGUGGUGCACACGUCAAUGCAGCUGGCUUACAGUCAGGCGGUGAGCGACCUCACAUCUGAGUAGGGGGUGCGUGUGACAGGAUGGUAAAGGCAAUAAAUUGUCAGCACAGCUUCAACAAAUUUGUAGGUCAAUAUCUAAACUUAUGCAUAUCUUUCCUUCCAGAAAUGUUGCAUCCACAUUUCCCUCAAAAAGCAGAUGCCUAUAUAUAACUAGCCAGCGCCAGCCUGAAAGGUGUGCCCAAACUCAUAUCAAUGGAACAACUGUGAAAAAUUGUAUUCCCUCUUUCAGGAACCACAAUAUUAGCAGAAAUGGGAGGCAUAUGGAACAGAGGUGAGACUUCAUUUGCAUUCCAAUCAGUUAAUGUUUGGAGGGUAGCACUCCAUUUCUAUAGCACAACCUUCAAGAUCCAUCUGUAGCAGACAUUCUCGAUGUUGCCAGGUAGUGUCAUAAUGUGUGAGCACCAUGCAGUUGUUUAUCAACGGUUUCUAUGCUGUAAUAUGUAUAGCUGUACAUUUCCCCUAAAGCAUACCAGAAAACAAAUGUAUCUCAAAUCCUAAGAUAAAGCUGGUUUUAAACUGACAGUCCACUACUACAAAUUUGGUCUUCACUGCCAGCUUUAUCACUGUCGGAUUUGCCGACAGUGAUAACCCGUCACGACACAUCACUGUCAGUUUUUGCCUUAAACUGACAGUGAUAGAUCCAACCGAUAGUGAUAUUCGGAUCUUCACUAUCUGUUCACAUUACUGUC
rnacentral:lncRNA from 1 species